rnacentral:tRNA from 1 species
UUCGGCGUGGUCUAGUGGCUAUGAUAUGUGGCUUUCACCCAGAAGGCCUGGGUUCGAUUCCCGGCGUCGGAA